rnacentral:pre_miRNA from 1 species
AAUGCAAUUGCUGGAUUACAUGGCAAGACAAUGUUUAGUUUUAUAAGAAAUUUCCAAACUGUCUUCCAAAGUGGCUGUGCCAGUUUGCAUUUCCCCUGGCAAU